rnacentral:rRNA from 2 species
UGGGGAAUAUUGCACAAUGGGCGGAAGCCUGAUGCAGCGACGCCGCGUGGGGGAUGACGGCCUUCGGGUUGUAAACCUCUUUCAGUGCAGAACAAGGCUCUCUGUGGGUUGAGGGUAUGCGCAGACGAAGCGCCGGCUAACUACGUGCCAGCAGCCGCGGUAAUACGGAGGGCGCGAGCGUUGUCCGGAUUUAUUGGGCGUAAAGAGCUCGUAGGCGGUUUGUCGCGUCUGCUGUGAAAUCCUCUGGCUUAACUGGGGGCGUGCAGUGGGUACGGGCAGACUGGAGUGCGGUAGGGGAGACUGGAAUUCCUGGUGUAGCGGUGGAAUGCGCAGAUAUCAGGAGGAACACCGGUGGCGAAGGCGGGUCUCUGGGCCGCAACUGACGCUGAGGAGCGAAAGCAUGGGGAGCGAACAGG